GUCGAACGAAUCCCCGCAAGGGGGGAAGUGGCGAAAGGGGCAGUAAGGCGUAGAUAACCUGCCCCGGGCUCUGGGAUAGCCUUCCUAACGGAUGGGUAAUACCAGGUACGCUCCUGUAGAGGCAUCUCUUCAGGAGGAGAGCUCCGGCGGCCCGGGAGGGGUUUACGUGAUAUUAGCUAGUUGGUGAGGUGACGGCUCACCAAGGCCAAGAUGUCUAGCAGGUGUGAGAGCACGACCUGCGCCACUGGCACUGUGACACUGGCCAGACUCCUACGGGAGGCUGCAGUCGAGAAUCUUCGGCAAUGAGCGCAAGCUUGACCGAGCGACGCCGCGUGAGCGAUGAAGGCCUUCGGGUUGUAAAGCUCUGUCGGGGGGGAGAAAAGGCAACUUGAUCGACCCCCGGAGGAAGGACGGGCUAAGUUCGUGCCAGCAGCCGCGGUAAGACGAACCGUCCGAACGUUAUUCGGAAUCACUGGGCUUAAAGGGUGCGUAGGCGGAGGGGUAAGUCAGAGGUGAAAGCCCACGGCUCAACCGUGGAAGUGCCCCUGAUACUGCUCCUCUCGAGGGAGAUAGGGGCGUGCGGAACUCAGAGUGGAGCGGUGAAAUGCGUAGAUAUUCUGAGGAACACCGGUGGCGAAAGCGGCACGCUGGAUCUCUUCUGACGCUGAGGCACGAAAGCCAGGGGAGCAAACGGGAUUAGAUACCCCGGUAGUCCUGGCCCUAAACGUUGGGUACUAGG
rnacentral:rRNA from 1 species